CGCCAGACUCCUACGGGAGGCAGCAGUGGGGAAUAUUGCACAAUGGGGGAAACCCUGAUGCAGCGACGCCGCGUGAGUGAAGAAGUAUUUCGGUAUGUAAAGCUCUAUCAGCAGGGAAGAAAAUGACGGUACCUGACUAAGAAGCCCCGGCUAACUACGUGCCAGCAGCCGCGGUAAUACGUAGGGGGCAAGCAUUAUCCGGAUUUACUGGGUGUAAAGGGAGCGUAGACGGCAUGGCAAGUCAGAUGUGAAAGCCCGGGGCUCAACCCCGGGACUGCAUUUGAAACUGUCAGGCUGGAGUGCAGGAGAGGUAAGUGGAAUUCCUAGUGUAGCGGUGAAAUGCGUAGAUAUUAGGAGGAACACCAGUGGCGAAGGCGGCUUACUGGACUGUAACUGACGUUGAGGCUCGAAAGCGUGGGGAGCAAACAGGAUUAGAUACCCUAGUA
rnacentral:rRNA from 1 species